rnacentral:rRNA from 1 species
GACGGGGGCCCGCACAAGCGGAGGAACAUGUGGUUUAAUUCGAUGAUACGCGAGGAACCUUACCCGGGCUUGAACUGCAGCGGACGGAAACAGAGAUGUUGACUCCCUUCGGGGCCGCUGUGGAGGUGCUGCAUGGUUGUCGUCAGCUCGUGCCGUGAGGUGUCGGCUUAAGUGCCAUAACGAGCGCAACCCUUUUCAUUAGUUGCCAUCAGGUAAUGCUGGGCACUCUGAUGAUACUGCCACCGUAAGGUGUGAGGAAGGUGGGGAUGACGUCAAAUCAGCACGGCCCUUACGUCCGGGGCUACACACGUGUUACAAUGGGAGGUACAGAGAGAUGGUUGUACGCAAGUGCGAUAAAAUCCUAAAAGCCUUCCUCAGUUCGGAUUGGGGUCUGCAACCCGACCCCAUGAAGCUGGAUUCGCUAGUAAUCGCGCAUCAGCCAUGGCGCGGUGAAUACGUUCCCGGGCCUUGUACACACCGCCCGUCAAGCCAUGAAAGCCGGGGGCGCUUGAAGUCCGUGACCGCAAGGAUCGGCCUAGAGCGAAACUGGUAAUGG